rnacentral:rRNA from 1 species
AUAUCAAUAAGCGGAGGAAAAGAAACCAACAGGGAUUGCCUCAGUAACGGCGAGUGAAGCGGCAACAGCUCAAAUUUGAAAUCUGGCUCUUUUCAGGGUCCGAGUUGUAAUUUGUAGAAGAUGCUUUCGGGUGUGGCUCCGGUUCUAAGUUCCUUUGGAAUAUGAUAUCAUAGAGGGUGAGAAUCCCGUAUGUGACCGGCUGCCUUCGCCUAGUGUGAAAGCUCUUUCGACGAGUCGAGUUGUUUGGGAAUGCAGCUCAAAAUGGGUAGGUAAUAUUUCAUUCUAAAGCUAAAUAUUGGCCAGAGACCGAUAGCGCACAAGUAGAGUGAUCGAAAGAUGAAAAGCACUUUGGAAAGAGAGUUAAACAGUAC